rnacentral:rRNA from 1 species
CGUACACUCCUACGGGAGGCAGCAGUGGGGAAUAUUGGACAAUGGGCGCAAGCCUGAUCCAGCCAUGCCGCGUGAGUGAUGAAGGCCCUAGGGUUGUAAAGCUCUUUCACCGGUGAAGAUAAUGACGGUAACCGGAGAAGAAGCCCCGGCUAACUUCGUGCCAGCAGCCGCGGUAAUACGAAGGGGGCUAGCGUUGUUCGGAUUUACUGGGCGUAAAGCGCACGUAGGCGGACUAUUAAGUCAGGGGUGAAAUCCCGGGGCUCAACCCCGGAACUGCCUUUGAUACUGGUAGUCUUGAGUGCGAGAGAGGUGAGUGGAAUUCCGAGUGUAGAGGUGAAAUUCGUAGAUAUUCGGAGGAACACCAGUGGCGAAGGCGGCUCACUGGCUCGAUACUGACGCUGAGGUGCGAAAGCGUGGGGAGCAAACAGGAUUAGAAACCCUAGUAGUCCCAU